ensembl:lncRNA
CAAUAAUUAUGAAAGUGUAUUGCUAUUGACUAUAUGCUUAUGGGGCCCUCUGGGUUGGUCCCCAUAAUCACGUUCAGAUUUGUGUGUGUUUGAAAAUGCUUAUGAGGCCCAAUGGCUGUGUCCCCACAAACACGUUUUCAAAUUUGUGUGUUUGAAAUUGAUGUUCCAUAUAUGUAUUGAGUUUUGAACCAUCAUUUGUCGUGGUGAGGUAAGCUCACGUGGAAUUGAAAUUUUAACAUUGAGUCAUUAUUAAUUGUAUUAUUUAUUGGUAUUAUUUCUGAUGGGUGAUAGAGUCAAUGAAUUGAUGCCCAGCAGGAAAUCCUUGUGAUGAUGAUGAUCAGUUUGCGUUUAUGACUGGUUGAUUAAGGUAACCCUCUCCUUGAAGACAAUUAAGGAUCAAUAUCAUCUUUCUGAGCAAAAAGCAGAAGUCUUGUCGCAAAUACGUCAGUAUUAUAUUGUGCAAUCGUUUGAAAUGUUACACCCUGCUUUAUUUUCUUUCAUUUCAUCCUGCUUUUAUUAGAUUUUACUUAUUUUAACUGUCUGGUCAAAUCUUUGUCACUUUUCACUCGCAGACCAAAAUUAGUUUUCUUCUUUAAUGUUUUUUUUGUUCCAGGAACAACACACGGUAUGAUGUACUUUAGAAUAGUUGUUCGCUUUCCUGCAUCCAUAUGACUUUCUUGGCUCUUGGUUUGCGAUUUCCUGCCCUGAGCGCAAAACUUCCAGUAUUGCUGAUUCUCAUGUAGUUUUCAUCAAGGCUACGGUUGCGUCAUGCGUCUGUGGGACGCCUACGUUAAAGAGUAAAAUUUCCGAGGCCUUUUGUUGUAGCUAGUUGCUUGGUUCAAGCGCUUACAUCACGCACCUCAUUUGCGUCCCCCCUCACUAGAACACCUAACUGGCAUCGUACGUGACCAUUUCCUAAGGAAAUGAAUAUUUUCAGAGACUGCCUGUUCUCCUCUCUGCAGGACAGUUUGUAAGGACUGACGCCCUCUGUGGCCGGAGCCGUAGAGGGAGAGGUACUCCCAAGUCAAACUCUCGAAGCAUUCUUUCGGCGGUGAACUCCUUUGUACAGUUUUAAAAUUGCCUAUUUUGUGACUCAGAAUAGACACUUUGGUCAGUAAUACUAGACAUCAUCAAUGCAGUGUAAAGAUGCUCUAUUGUACAAUUGCCUUUUCUACUCCCGUUCGGUUUUUCUACUCUUUUCCCCUUGUAUAUAGACCAAUAAAUUAUUUUUAAAAACACUUA